UUAUUAUGCUGAUCUGUUCUGUACGACAUCUAUUGCACGUCUGUCCGUCCUGGAAGAGGGAUCCCUCCUCAGUUGCUCUUCCUGAGGUUUCUACCGUUUUUUUACCCCGUUAAAGGGGUUUUUUGGGGGAGUUUUUCCUUAUCCGCUGCGAGGGUCAUAAGGACAGAGGGAUAUCGUAUGCUGUAAAGCCCUGUGAGGCAAAUUGUGAUUUGUGAUAUUGGGCUUUAUAAAUAAAAUUGAUUGAUUGAUUGAUUGACUAUACUGACGGACUUUCUCUGCCAAAAACAAAAGAACACGGAUUUGAAUACACUCGGCAGUCAUGCUUAAUGACAUUUUACGCGAGUUUUAUGCCUCAGUUCAGUCCACUAAGCCUGGGUGAGUACAAAACUUUCACCAAAAGUUGUCGAAUCCGGUCGGUUUUAAUGCACUUCGCGGAGGCAGACAACAUUAUUUAUUUAACUGAUAAUUAGCCGUGUAAUAAGCGGGAUAAUGUAUAAUGAGCCGGUGCGCAUUGGGGUUCUGUUCCCCUGUCGGGAGUUAUUUUCCCAGUAUUGUACUGGCUCAUUAUACAUUAUCCCUUACGUAUCAUAAUCUAUUCUUACCAACACCACUCUUGAAUGUAUAUUUAACAUAUGAUGCACAUUUCUUAUUUCCAUUUCUACUCAUGUAUAUAUUGUGUUUUACAUUACAAUUUUUAUAUUUUUACAAACUUUCCAUAUUUAGCAUAUUAUACAUAUUUUCAUUUUUUUUUUUUUUAACAUUUUACAUACUUGUCGCAAGUCAAAACGGUUGGGAACCACUGCAUUACAAUAUAAAGAAGUAAAAUAAUGUGUUUGUUAUAACAACUUUAAACUUACAUGUAUUGUUUCCCAUAUUAAGUUUGUUAAUUGACCAAAGCUACACAUAAUGUGCACACAAUGAUAAAUGAAAUCCACUUGGCCUUGAGUAAGCUAAUAUGACAACUGAGCUACUAUGGGCAUUAAUUAUUCAUAAACAAAAAAGGCAUGACAAACAAAGGGGGACAAAGUGUCUGUGAGUGCACUCCCAGAAGCGCCCUCAUUAACUGGAAGAGGAUACAGCUCCAUGAGAGUGACUCCAUUUAACAAGUACUUGACAAGUCCCUUUAUUGAUUAGUAGUGAUCUAUUGUAACUUCUGACACCACAAACAGCUGCUCCUUACCACUGGGAUCUUUUGGAAUCCAGUUUAGACUUAGAAAACAGUUACAUGUUUUGCAAGGCACAUCAAUAUAAAUAUUAAAAAAAAAAAUCAAUAGACAUGACUCCAAUUUACGGUCUCUAGCUCCUCCCACUGGUAAAAGGUGGAAAUUAAUGUUCUACCCACAAACAAUCCACCACCACUUCAAUACUAAUUAUUCAUAGUGAGAGUAAUGCACAGGGUUUCAACACAUUUUCAUGGACAAAAUUUCAAAACUUUUCGAGGACCCAUAAUAAAAUGUUUGUUUUUAAUUACAUUUUUUUUCCCUACUUGCCAGGUGUUUUUUAAGCAUAUCAGAUUCAAACUCUACUCAGACCUAUAUCCUGCUGGCUGGCAAACAUAAAGAGAGAGAGGGGGAACAUGGGAAGAAAAUUAAGAGACGUACGUGUUUGAACAUCGACAGCUUCAGGAAAUAAAUGUGCUGUUAUAUAUUAUGUUACAUUACGUGGAAGGUUAUCCACGGAGGUAACUCAGGGUUCAACGCUAAGGUUUUUUUUCACUUGCCCGGUCGGGCAAGUUGGUCAGAGAUCUACUUGCCCGAAGUCAGUUUUUACUUGCCCUAUAAAAAUUGUUUAAUUUAAGCGGCUAUCAAAUAACAAAGACUGCAGUUAUUUUUAUGUUAUGUAAUCUUUAUUCACACUGUAUUUAUUAAUUAAAACAACAUAUGUCAUGUAUUGUAGCUUAAUUCCUACACAAAAAUGACAGUGUCAGGGCUUAAACUGAAAAAUUUGUCAAUCGUUCUCCGUCUAUAAUUUUGCGUCCUACUUGAGCCAUGCCCACCUCUAUUUAUUUUUCACCCUUCUCUCCAGUUCUGCUGUAUUAACACCGGGUUUAAUAUAUUUUGCUUCCAUCUCUCUGCCCUGCUCUACUCUACUUCAACGCUACUUAGCUCUCUCUCUACUCUACCAGUAGACUACCACAUCCACCUGUUGCACAAAACGCACACAGCAGUGUUUCCCCUAGGAUGGAGUUGUAGCAGCGGAGGUGAAGCACACGCAUGAAAAAUAAUUUUCACAUGCGUGUGAAACUUUUUUGUAUGCUUGCAAAGCAGCCUGCUGGGAUGUUUCUAUGUAUCUACUGGCAUCAGAAGGGCUCUUUAGGACUAAGUACAUACAGUACAUGUGUGCACAGUAAUGAGCAGGUGAAAUUUCUGUCUAGCUUACAUAUGAGGUGUCUCAAGAUUUAGAAACAUACAAUUUUAUUGCAUAUAAUAAAGUAAAAAGUCACUUGACAUGCUGCUGUUUUUUUGCUAUGACCUAUUUAAGUGCUGGAAGUUGUUAUUUACGUGACAACGCCUGAACGCAACACAAGCUCAGCAUGACUGCCGUGCUGAGCUGCUAUGCGAGCAGCGUGUUUGUCUGUGCGUAACAGCAGUCUGUUGGUUAUUUACACACUGUCCAUUUCAAUAACUUUGUCAGCUGACAAACUGCACCGGGCUCGGGGUCAGGUUUGGUCAGGAAAAUGCGGCCCGAGCCGCUCUAGCGUGCUCACCUGUGUGUGUGGCGGAACUCCGCCGUGCGCGAUACAGAGAGCAGAGGAGAAUUGUUAACGCGUGACCAUGUAGAGACAGAAAUGACACGAUGACAUAACACCAUAAAUUGUAUAUUGUUAUGUUAUUAUAUGAAGCGUCAGUCGCGCAAAAUAAUAUCAAUGGGGGCUGUGGGCAGGACAUUGUUACACAGCGUGUCCUUGUGACUUCUGGCAGAGAGGCCGCUGCAUCAGAGCCGAAGGAGCACGUUUUAAAAUACAUUUAUUUUAUCAAUUAGUUAUUAACUUUUACUAUUUUUAGCAACUUGCCCGAUCGGGCAAGUGAGUUGUUAGUUUACAUGCCCGACCGUGAGUUUUACUUGCCCCGGGCAAUCGGGCAAUCCUUAUUGUUGAGCCCUGCUGCACUAUAUUACAUGUC